rnacentral:rRNA from 1 species
UGGGGAAUAUUGGACAAUGGGGGCAACCCUGAUCCAGCGAUGCCGCGUGAGUGAAGAAGGCCUUAGGGUUGUAAAACUCUUUCAGGGGUGAAGAUAAUGACGGUAACCCCAGAAGAAGCUCCGGCUAACUCCGUGCCAGCAGCCGCGGUAAUACGGAGGGAGCUAGCGUUGUUCGGAAUUACUGGGCGUAAAGCGCGCGUAGGCGGCUUUGCAAGUAGAGGGUGAAAUCCCGGGGCUUAACCUCGGAACUGCCUCCUAAACUGCAGAGCUAGAAUCCUGGAGAGGUGAGUGGAAUUCCUAGUGUAGAGGUGAAAUUCGUAGAUAUUAGGAAGAACACCAGUGGCGAAGGCGACUCACUGGACAGGUAUUGACGCUAAGGUGCGAAAGCGUGGGGAGCGAACAGGAUUAGAUACCCUGGUAGUCCACGCCGUAAACGAUGGGUGCUAGGUGUUGGGUAGCUUGCUAUUCAGUGCCGAAGCUAACGCGUAAGCACCCCGCCUGGGAGACUACCAUGG